CCGCUAUCCGCUAAUCGGUCUGGCCGUGUCGCGGAAGGUUGUUCCCUGCAUCAUAACGAGUGAGACACUCGGAUAGGUGAAGCG
rfam:Candidimonas bauzanensis strain CGMCC 1.10190 genome assembly, contig: Ga0070552_117